AUUGAACGCUGGCGGCAGGCCUAACACAUGCAAGUCGAGCGGAGCGGCGGACGGGUGAGUAAUGCCUAGGAAUCUGCCUGGUAGUGGGGGAUAACGUCCGGAAACGGGCGCUAAUACCGCAUACUAUCAGAUGAGCCUAGGGCGGAUUAGCUAGUUGGUGGGGGAAAGGCCUACCAAGGCGACGAUCCCUAGCUGGUCUGAGAGGAUGACCAGCCACACUGGAACGGAGACACGGUCCAGACUCCUACGGGAGGCAGCAGGGGGGAAUAGUGCACAAGGGGCGCAAGCCUGAUGCAGCCAUGCCGCGUGUAUGAAGAAGGCCUUCGGGUUGUAAAGUACUUUCAGCGGGGAGGCGUUACCCGCAGAAGAAGCACCGGCUAACGCCGUGCCAGCAGCCGCGGUAAUAC
rnacentral:rRNA from 1 species